AGUGAACGCUGGCGGUAGGCCUAACACAUGCAAGUAGAACGGCAGCACAGUAAGAGCUUGCUCUUACGGGUGGCGAGUGGCGGACGGGUGAGGAAUACAUCGGAAUCUACUUUUUCGUGGGGGAUAACGUAGGGAAACUUACGCUAAUACCGCAUACGACCUACGGGUGAAAGCAGGGGAUCUUCGGACCUUGCGCGAUUGAAUGAGCCGAUGUCGGAUUAGCUAGUUGGUGGGGUAAAGGCCCACCAAGGCGACGAUCCGUAGCUGGUCUGAGAGGAUGAUCAGCCACACUGGAACUGAGACACGGUCCAGACUCCUACGGGAGGCAGCAGUGGGGAAUAUUGGACAAUGGGCGCAAGCCUGAUCCAGCCAUACCGCGUGGGUGAAGAAGGCCUUCGGGUUGUAAAGCCCUUUUGUUGGGAAAGAAAAGCAGCAGGUUAAUACCCCGCUGUUCUGACGGUACCCAAAGAAUAAGCACCGGCUAACUUCGUG
rnacentral:rRNA from 1 species